GACGAACGCUGGCGGCGUGCUUAACACAUGCAAGUCGAACGGAAAGGCCCGGCUUUUGUGGGGUUCUCGAGUGGCGAACGGGUGAGUAACACGUGAGUAACCUGCCCUUAACUUUGUGAUAACUUCAGGAAACUGGGGCUAAUACCGGAUAGGAGCUCCUGCUGCAUGUUGGGGGUUGGAAAGUUUCGGCGGUUGUGGAUGGACUCGCGGCUUAUCAGCUUGUUGGUGGGGUAGUGGCUUACCAAGGCUUUGACGGGUAGCCGGCCUGAGAGGGUGACCGGCCACAUUGGGACUGAGAGACGGCGCAGACUGGUACGGGAGGCAGCAGUGGGGAAUAUUGCACAAUGGGGGGAAGUCUGAUGCAGAAACGCCGCGUGCGGGAUGACGGCCUUCGGGUUGUAAACCGCUUUCGCCUGUGACGAAGCGUGAGUGACGGUAAUGGGUAAAGAAGCACCGGCUAACUACGUG
rnacentral:rRNA from 1 species